rnacentral:RNase_P_RNA from 1 species
CGAGUAAGACAGACAGUCGCGUAAGCUGUGCCGAAAGGCCGCUUAUGAGGAAAGUCCGGGCUCCACAGGGCAAGAAUAACGGGUAACGCCCGCCGAAGGCGACUUCAGGAAAAGUGCAACAGAAAUAAACCGCCAAACCGGGUCAAACCGCUUUGGUAAGGAUGGAAAGGUGAGGUAAGAGCUCACCCGAUGGCUCGAGAGUGCCCAUCGCUGUAAACUCUAUUCGGAGCAACACCGGUAUGGGAGCUAUGGUUUGCCCGACCGCUCCCGGGGUGGCUGGACCGUAUUGGCAACAGUACGGCAAGAUAGAUGACUGUCAGAUACAGAACCCGGCUUAUAGUCUCACUCGCACU